UACCUGGUAAUAGCCUGGUUAUAACCUGAGACAUUACUUGGUUAUAACCUGGUAAUAACCUGAGACAUUACCUGGUUAUAACCUGGUUAUUACCAGGUAAUGUCUCAGGUAAUUUCUGGUAAUAACCAGGUUAUGACCUGGAUAUUACCUGGUUAUAACCUGAGACAUUACCUGGUUACAACCUGGUUAUAUCCUGAGACAUUACCUGGUUAUAACCUGAUUAUAUCCUGAGACAUUACCUGGUUAUAACAUGGUUAUAUCAUGAGACAUUACCUGGCUAUAACCUGAGACAUUACCUGGUUAUAACCAGGUUAUAACCUGGGUUAUAACCAGGUUAUAACCUGUUUAUAACCUGGUUAAAUCCUGAGACACUACCU